UUAUGCAGAGGUGUUGGCCCCUUUGGUCCAGAUAUGGUCCGCAAGUAUACUAGUGCUAGAUUUGGUUCAUAUUCAACUGGCCAAGUUUUGAAUGAAGAGGAGUCCAAAUUACUGUCAGAAUAUGUGUACCACACAUUGGCGGCCAAAGCCAGUGGAGAGCUGUGUUUAAAAUAUAUAUUUGCAUUUGGAGCAUUUACUCGGGUGCCUUUAGAAAGGUGCGGUGAUUCUCCUCCUAAACUUGUUUAAUGGAUUUGUAAAAGAUAAUUGCUGCCAAAUGGCAUGAAUUCAUCAUGUAGAAAUGAUAGUGUGUUUUUUAGCAAGUAAAUAAAAAGAAAUGAAAGUGCAUUUAAAUUCCCCACCUAGGAAGGGUUGGAAGGUAGUGAGUGACUAUUAUAUAAUGAUCUCAUUCCUUUGGGGUGCAGUGCAUCCGAAUGGAUAGUGCCAACGACAUUUAUAUAUGGCUACGAAGAUUAGAUGUCUUACGAAGGGGCCCAAGAUGCUCGCAAGCAUAUGAAGGUUCCUUGUGAAAUUAUAAGGGUCCCUUAGGUUUCUCUCUCUCUCUUCCCCCCUAAAUUUGUCAAACUGUGCCUUCUCAAUUUCAUAAAAGAUCUGUUAUAUGUUUUUCGAUUUUCUUAGCUAGUUUUUGAAGGUUGAGUUUUUGUGGGCUUGCUUUACAUUAACUUGGCUUUUUGCUCUCUCUCUUCUCUCUCUCUCUCUCUCUCUCUCUCUCUCUCUCACACACACACACACACACACACACACACACACACACACAAAUUUGUUUUCUAAAUAGCACAAAGGACCCAGGGCAGAAGCCAUUCAUUCAGCUUUACAAUUGGCCAAGGAUCCAUUAUUAAAGAUUGGCAAUGGAUGGAAUAUAGUUCGGGGAGCAUCAAAUGAUUACAUUUUGAAUUUUGGAUAUAUUUUGUCAUAGGUUUUUGUUAUGAAUUUGCAAGCUUGGAAGGUUUUUUGGAAUUAUAUGUUUGAAGUUUUUUUCAUAUGUUUGACAGAUUGGCAAUGGAUGAAAUAUAGUUCGGGGAGCAUCAAAGGAUUACAUUUUGAA